GUAAAAUGCACAUAUUUUUCUUGGUUUUAAGUGGAAAUGAUCUUUUCCUGAUGUAAUACUACCCUAAAAAAUGUGUUCUAGGCACUUAUAUGACUUUAAAAAGGAAAUGGACCUGAUCCACCAGCUUAUCUGUGAUCUUUCAGCUUCUUUCCUCGCACUACCCUGAGAUGAUUGGAUGGUUUCUGCCCUUUGGAUCUGCUGCAAGAAAGUUAGGGAGCUAAGAAGGAAGUAGGAAGGAAAUUGUUUGAGACUAGCAAAUCUCAUGUUUGUUUUCACUGUUUUCACACUCCACUCUCCAGCCUGCUAAGCUUCAGUCUGUGACCCACGAAUCUCCCUUUCUUACCAGCCUGAUGCUGGAACUCACAUUGGUGCUGCUAGCAGCAGGUCUGUUUUGCAGUCUGACGUCCCUUCUCCUCCCACUGAGGGCACUCCUGCACACCUCCAGGACACAGAAUAUUCCUUUAAAAGAUCUGUCCUGAACUAUGAGGAGAAAAGUAGCACCCAAGAGAG
rnacentral:lncRNA from 1 species